UCCCUGAUAGUUCAGUUGGUAAAGAAUCUGCCUGCAAUGCAGGAGACCCUGGUUCAAUUCCUGGGUGGGGAA
rnacentral:tRNA from 1 species